rnacentral:lncRNA from 1 species
AUGGGGCUGCCCCAUAAGUUACUGGCCCCCCAUUAUCUAUGGGGCUGCCCCAUAAGUUAUAACCCCCCCCACAUAUCUAUGGGGCUGCCCCACAAGUACCUGACCCCUUUAUCUAUGGGGCAGCCCCACAAGCUCCCGCCCCACAGCGUCACUUACCUGCCUCCUCCCAGUAUCUAUGGGGCAGCCCCCCAAGUUCCCUCUGCCCCACACAUCUAUGGGGCAGCCCCCCCCAAGUUCCCUCUGCCCCACAUAUCUGUGGGGCAGCCCCACACACUGACCCUCCUGCCCCACAUAUCUAUGGGGCAGCCCCACACACUGACCCUCCUGCCCCACACAUCUAUGGGGCAGCCCCACACACUGACCCUCCUGCCCCACAUCUAUGGGUCAGCCCCACACAUCUAUGGGGCAGCCCCACACAUCUAUGGGGCAGCCCCACAUAUCUAUGGUCAGCCCCACACAUGCUAUGGGCAAGCCCCACACACUGACCCUCCUGCCCACAUAUCGGGCCAGCCCCACACAAGCUGACCCUCCUGCCACCAUUAUCUAUGGGUCAGCCCCACACAUCUAUGGGUCAGCCCACACACUGACCCCCGCCCCACAUCAGGGCAGCCGCCACACACUACCCUCGCCGCCCCCUACCAUAUCUAUGGGCAAGCCCCACACACUACCCUCCUGCCCCACAUCUAUGGGUCUGCCCCACACAUCUAUGGGCAGAGCCCCACACACGUGACCCUCCUGCCCCCACAUAUCUAGGGGCAGCCCCCACACCUGACCCUC